UACGUAGGGACCGAGCGUUGUCCGGAUUCAUUGGGCGUAAAGAGCUCGUAGGCGGCCACUCAAGUCGAAUGUGAAACCUCGAGGCUCAACCUCGAGCCUGCAUUCGAUACUGGGCGGCUAGAGUCUGGUAGGGGGAUCUGGAAUUCCUGGUGUAGCGGUGGAAUGCGCAGAUAUCAGGAGGAACACCGGUGGCGAAGGCGGGAUCCUGGGCCAGUACUGACGCUGAGGCACGAAAGCGUGGGGAGCAAACAGG
rnacentral:rRNA from 1 species